UUAAUGUUUUUGAAAGCUGUCUCUUAUGCUCAGCAGAGCUGCAUUUACUUGAUUAAAAAUACAGUAAAAAAAAAGUAACAUUGUGAAAUAUUAUUGCAAUUUCCAUUAACUUUAUUUAUUUUUUUAUUUUUUGGAAAGUUAUAUUUUAAGGGCUUUUUAUGCCUUUACUGAGACAGGAUAGUGGAGAGCUGACAGGAAAGCUUUUGGAUGAAGAGAGGGGAGAGGGAUCGGCAAAGGACCUCGAGACGGGAAUCGAACUCGGGUCGCCGUGUGCGCAGUUGGGCUACUGUCGUGUUUGGUAUCUGGUGCUGGAUGAAGGCUGCUGUCCCGUUGAGGAUGAGGAGACCUGCGCUUGCUGCUGCGGUUGUUGGCUGCGCUGCACCUGUGUUAACACCUGCGCCUGUGUGGCUGGUUGCGUUUGGCCCUGCUGCUGCCUAUGCACCUUCUGCAUGUGCCACUUUUGAGAGGACGUCUGAAACUUGGUGGUGGGGUUCCACACGACAGCCUGCUGCACCACAGGUUUGACGGAGCCCGCGCCAGGGUUUGCGGGAUCCAGGAGCAUCUGGAAUUGGUUGUCUGGUGUGUAAGGUGUGCGGAAUGGAGCGUAAUUGAAGACUCCAAAUUUUUUCCGGAUGUUCUCUACGUAUACUUCCAUCUCCUGCAUGGCACUGUUGAAGAUGCUCUUGGUCUUCUUCACAGAGAAGGGGAUCUCUUUGGACAUGAGGACUAGAGGAGGAUUCUGAAGGCGAGUGUCCAUUUGAGGAGUGAGGAGGGCUGGAAACCUUGCGCUUAGGGAUGGUCCUUUCUGCUGACCCUUGAUCAGAGACUACACAGUAAUGGACAAUUCUCACCCUUGGAUCGUGUUGCGAUUUCCAUCCCUUCAAUUGCAUCUGACUCCUUCCCUCCUCCUUCAGCCAAACUGCCACAAUGAAAAUGAAAAAAAAAAAAAUCAACGAUAUUUAAAUGUCUAUUUUAUAUACCUGCUGUUUUGUCAUUAUGGCACCUGUAUUUCUCAUGCCAUUCUUUUCGGUAAAAGAAAUUGCUUUACUAAAAUUAGGCUUGAAUCUUUGUUUUUUAUCUUUAGAGGGAAUGUGUUUGGCAACAGUGGACAAUGAAAUCUAACAUAACUUCAUUUUAUCAAACAUCAAGCAAGCAAAUGUCUUCAUAUAGUACGGCACUGAAUUUAAGUUUUAUUUCAACAGUUUGAAUGCAGAAGAGAAGGAAGUUCACAUUGAAAGAGAGCUUUGACGUUAAAUUCACAGCAUGGCCUCCAUCAGACUCAACAAAAUAUGCUUAUUCUCCACUCCUAACAAAUGCUAACUAAAUCUUAUUGUUGUAGAAAUCGAACAUUAAGAAUAAACAGAUUAAAUAAAACAUUUUGUGUCAGGUGUAACUUACAAAUGAGUAGGGUAAACGUACCUAUUAAGCUCACAUACCCAUUAAGCACACUUCCAUUUUUGAGAUCAGAUUAUAAAAAGAAAAAAUAAUUUAUUAUCCUACUUGAUGUCUUAACCAAGUGAUGUGUUUGUUACUAUAUACCUCCUAUAAUUUGAAGUCAAUCAGAUAAUUUCACACUGAGAUAUGGGUCUCCAUAUGGGUUCACACUGUCUGGCGGCCAUUUUGAAAGCUGUCUAAAAGAGGUGCCCCAUAAAUGUGCGUUUUUUUUAGACGUUUAAGCUUUUAUUUUGGGUAAGUUUCACUACUUAGAGAUUAAUGUUCAGACUUUUGCAUAUUUUAACCUGGAACUCGGAUGUGGGAAAUAAUUACAUUAGAUCCAAAAUAUAGUUUUAGCAACAUAGCGCAGAUGCUACAGAACAGAGUUAGCUGACUAGCUGUAUAAGGUUGUGUGCUACGCUAACAUAUUACUUCACAGGCAUUACUGGCUUGUACUUUUACAUCCAUAAUAUUAUAAAUUGACAGUUUAUUUCUGGUCUGUCGUUUUACAGUGCUGUAAUUUUUAAAGAUUUCUUAUUAUUUUAAGGUGAGCUUAAAGGGUGCACUUCUAUGAAAAUCACACAGCUUCAGUGUGAAAUCAAUAAGAAAAAGUACAAUUUCAUAGAUAUUGUUAAUAAUAGUUGUUCAUAUUAAAAUAUGUAUGAACUUAAUACAUGACAGACUAUUUAUUUAGCAAAAUCCUGUCAUUGUAAUAAAUAUUACAUGAAAUGUAUUAAAAAUUGUUGCUGCUCCCAUUAAGCUCAGUGUGCUCUCUUUAAGCUCUUUCACAUUGAACGUCUAUGUAAAUACUUCAUAAACAGACUUUAAAUAUUAACUGAUGGUUGUCACUUUAAGUUAAGUUAAUCAAUUUUCUAUGGAAUCAGUCGACUCAAAUCUGCAGACUGGCUCUGAUCUUUGGCAACUAUAGCAUCAACUUCUCCAGACUGUAAAUCGGUGGAAAAUCGGGGCAAAAAUCAUGAAGUGUAUUCCAGCCAUAAGAGACUAUAGAUAAGCUGACAUCCAUUUAACAAGAGGUUUCAUAAUGAGGCUAGUUUCUGUGUUCAUUCCCAUGAAUUAAAUGUUUUAUUGGUUUGUUUUAUUUGAGUUUUGAACGUGUUACUUAGCUGAACGUGGACUAGUAUAGAUUUUGCAAUGUGCUGAAAUGACACUUCAUUAUGAAUAUAUUAUUGAUCAAAUUGAAUGCCUUGUUGCUUGAUUUUAUUAUUCUGGGUUUUUUUUGUGAUUGACUUUGUACCUUCAACAAAUAUAUAUUUUUACAAUUAUUCUUUAAACAUUUUCCUUAAAAUAAACAAGAAUUUUUAAUAAAACAUGAUGUGAGCUUAAUGGGAACAGGGGUGUGCUUAAAGGGUACAAAAAUGUACCCAUUAAGCACAGCCGGACUUUUUGAAUUUAAUGAUGUAUAUCUUAAUUGAAAUGCGUUUGUCAAUUAAAAUCAAAUUAAAUAUGUUUGUGUGAGAGAUUAAUCUUUUAUUUUAAAAUAACUUUUUGUACUGAAACCAAUAUCUUGUGCACUAAAAAUGUCUCAAUGUAGAUUUUGGUGAGCUUAAUAGGUACAUUUAUUUGAUACUAAACAAAUCAGCUUGUGGCAUUUCCUGAUGGUUUCGUUAACAAGUGAUAUGGCACAAAAACAUCAAAUCUUAUGUAAAUAUAUACAAAAAGGGCAAAGCAUUUUCAUUUCAGUAAACAAUCAUGUGCUUUUCUCCAAUCCAAGAACAUAACAGGCAACCCAGUUUAAUUUUACACUGCAAAAACUCAAAUACUCUCUAAAAUAUCUAAACAUUUCUUCAAAACAAGGUACAUUUACUUGAGAAUCAAAAUGACGUAAGAUAUUAAGUCUUCUUUUCUGAAAAACAUAUGAAAAGAAAACAAAAUAUCUGCCUAUGGGGUAAGAAGAAUUAACUUGAUAAUUCAAAGGAAAAACAAGAUUAGUUUCCUUACCCUACUGGCAGAUAUUUCUUUUGUUUUAAGCAAAGGCUCACUUAAUUUCGAGGAUAUCAUUUUGCUUCUCAAGUAAAUAUCUAAAUUUAAGAAUGUCUGUACUGAAACAAUACAAAAAUACUGAGUAAGAAAAUGGUAUUUUGCAGUUUAUUACUGCCUGAAGUAGCACCAAGAUGGUUUCCUCUCACUGCCAAGAGAGAACUUUCUAUUAGAAAUCUCAAUAAACACACAAAUGCCAUAUGAUAUGCACAUCAGACCGAUGGCCCAUAACUCAUCAGAUUGAGCAUCGUUUGAUGCCAAAGCUGAACCUCUGUGGAAAUUUCAAUUUCAAUGCGGCACUUGGACUUGAGACCUUCCAAGCGACAUAACGUUUCCCAUCAUUUUGCAGCCCGAGCGGUUUUAAAAAGGCUCCUUUUCUCUCCUGAUGCCUGGGUUAUUAUCUCACACACACACACACCCCCACCAUGUCUUGUUCAUGAACAGAGGAACAGAGAACAUCCUCCAUGAACAAACCUCAAGAUGAUCAGAGAAUCACACUGUUAUUGACAUUUACCAGAUCUAUCUAAUGCGCUUGCCCUGAUGUGGCAGUGAUAUCUUGCUCCAUCCCGCACCCCCAACCUUCAGAGAUACAGAUGGGGAGGGGGUGUGUUGACAGCAUGCACAAGGCAAACAUCUGUAGAGCUUGAUCACUUGCCAUCUUGGCCUUCUCACGUCCAACCUACAUGCACCAUCCACUCCCCACCCGUAGCAGAAUCCAGUUCCUCUUACGCAAACAACAACCCGAACACAUGAGUUAAAAAUGGCAAAAUACAAUCACAGAUACACCUAUAACCUUACCCUUAAACAAGCUUCCUCCCCAAAAACACACAGUCACACUAGCAUUGUAUGACUGUCCAUCU